rnacentral:rRNA from 1 species
UACGAAGGGUGCAAGCGUUGUUCGGAUUUACUGGGCGUAAAGCGUCCGUAGGUGGUUUGUUAAGUCAGGGGUGAAAUCCCGGGGCCCAACCCCGGAACUGCCUUUGAUACUGGCAAGCUGGAGCGUGAUAGAGGAAGAUGGAAUAUCUGGUGUAGGGGUGAAAUCCGUAGAUAUCAAGAGGAAUACUCAUUGCGAAGGCGACCUGCUAGAACAUAACUGACGCUGAUGCGCGAAAGCGUGGGGAGCAAACAGG